rnacentral:rRNA from 1 species
UAGAGUUUUGAUCNUGGCUCAGGAUNAANGCUGGCGGNGUGCCUAAUACAUGCAAGUCGAGCGAACAGAUAAGGAGCUUGCUCCUUUGAAGUUANCGGCGGACGGGUGAGUAACACGUGGGUAACCUACCUAUAAGACUGGGAUAACUUCGGGAAACCGGAGCUAAUACCGGAUAACAUUUAGAACCGCAUGGUUUUAAAGUGAAANAUGGUUUUGCUAUCACUUAUAGAUGGACCCGCGCCGUAUUAGCUAGUUGGUAAGGUAACGGCUUACCAAGGCGACGAUACGUAGCCGACCUGAGAGGGUGAUCGGCCNCACUGGAACUGAGACACGGUCCAGACUCCCACGGGAGGCAGCAGUAGGGAAUCUUCUGCAAUGGGCGAAAGCCUGACGGAGCAACAGCCGCGUGAGUGAUGAAGGGUUUCGGCUCGUAAAACUNCUGUUAUUAGGGAAGAACAAAUGUGUAAGUAACUGUGCACUNCUUGUACGUGUACGCUA